rnacentral:rRNA from 1 species
AUACGGAGGGGGUUAGCGUUGUUCGGAAUUACUGGGCGUAAAGCGCACGUAGGCGGACUGGAAAGUUGGGGGUGAAAUUCCGGGGCUCAACCCCGGAACUGCCUCCAAAACUUCCAAUCUAGAGAUCGAGAGAGGUGAGUGGAAUUCCAAGUGUAGAGGUGAAAUUCGUAGAUAUUUGGAGGAACACCAGUGGCGAAGGCGGCUCACUGGCUCGAUACUGACGCUGAGGUGCGAAAGCGUGGGGAGCAAACAGGAUUAGAAACCCUAGUAGUCC